CCUGCCCAUAGAGGCAUUUGCAGGUAUGGCUGCUGUGUCACAUGUACACCAGUAGGUGGCAGAGAGGAGAGAGACUGUUUACCCUCAGAGACCUAUGAAUAUUUAAAUGAUAAGUAGCCUAACGUU